CUGAGUGAGCCAUGGCGAGCAAGCCAGUAGAGUGAUCCAGUAACCAGCACUCCUCCGCAGUCUCUACUGCAGUUCCUGCUUUGGGGCCUCUGCCUUGACUUACCUCAAUGAUGGAGCAUCAUCCAGAAGUGUAAGCUAAAUAAACCCUUUGCUACAUAAAUUGCUUUUAGUCACUGUCUUAUGACAGCAACAAAGAAGCAAACUAAUACAGGACCCAAGCAUUUCUGGGGGCCAUGUUGUGGUCUACCAUGCUGAUUUUAUGAAGAGAAAGUAAAUUCCAUGGAAUCUGAAGUCUUAAGCAGGGUUUAUUAAUACCUAAGGAAUCAGAGUUCAGAAAAGACACGUAUGCCACAUCGUCUCCAAGAACUUCUGUAACCUGGAAACGCAGACCUGAUCAAGAACAUUGAGUCUACAUCUGAGUUUCAGUCACAGAAUAGAAAUGGAAAAAAGCAAUUCCUCCACAGAUCUGUCAGUGGUAGCUUGUAAGCUGACCUGUGUGUUCCAUGGCAUUCAUCAUACUGUUGUGAAAGCAGUGGUCAAGGACAGUACAUGUCCCCUGGUAAGGCCUGGUUGGCUAGUAUGGGGCAUGGCAUUUUCACAUUCUCUCCUGUAGCAGGAGGGCUUCUUUAUUUUGCCCCUUCGGAAUGACAAGAUAGUGAUGUGGCUCACUGUGAAUUUGGUGUGCAAGUGAGGGCUGCAGGACAGGAUGGCCUGCCCUCCCCAACUUGUGACCUGGGCUCUGUCCUGGCCAAUAGCUACCCUUGCUCAGUGAGUAGUCAGCUGUCCAGUAAGAGGCUGUGUCUCCAUCACCCCAGAACAGCCUGAUGAGGAAAAUCUGGGAUGUAUGCAAAGAACAUUGCAAAAAUUACCAUUCUACACAUUCUUAUUGCUGUA
rnacentral:lncRNA from 1 species